GGAAGAAGUUCAGGGUACUGCAAGGGUCUUGGUGGUUCGAUGCACAUUGCGGAUCAAGAUAUAAAUUUUAUUGGUUGCGCGUGACAAGGUCGUACCAGAGAGUCGGCUUGCAUGGGAACGUGCCCUAAAGUGGGGAAUAACUGUUGGAAACGACAGCUAAUACCGCAUAGUCUCGAGAGAGUAAAGGUGGCGCCCGCAAGGGGCUAUCGCUUUAGGAUCGGCCCAUGUCCCAUUAGCUAGUUGGUAAGGUAAUGGCUUACCAAGGCAACGAUGGGUAACUGGUCUGAGAGGAUGAUCAGUCACACUGGAACUGAGACACGGUCCAGACUCCUACGGGAGGCAGCAGUAGGGAAUAUUGCACAAUGGGGGAAACCCUGAUGCAGCAACGCCGCGUGAGUGAAGAAGGCCCUUGGGUUGUAAAGCUCUUUAGCGAGGGAAGAGGCUUAGCUAACCUAAUACGUUAGCUAGGUGACGGUACCUCGAGAAUAAGCACCGGCUAAUUUCGUGCCAGCAGCCGCGGUAAUACGAAGGGUGCAAGCGUUACUCGGAAUCACUGGGCGUAAAGCGCUCGUAGGCGGAUUAGUAUGUCAAUUGUGAAAGCCCAGAGCUCAACUCUGGAAUCGCAGUUGAAACUGCUUUUCUUGAAUACCUGAGAGGGUGGGGGAAUACCUAGUGGAGAAGUGAAAUUCGUAGAGAUUAGGUGGAACACCGGAGGCGAAGGCGCCUGCCUGGCAGUGUAUUGACGCUGAGGAGCGAAAGUGUGGGGAGCAAACAGGAUUAGAUACCCUGGUAGUCCACACCGUAAACGAUGGAUACUAGGUGUUCGGAGAGUUAACCCUCUGAGUACCAAAGUUCACACACUCGUAUCGUGACUGGGAAAA
rnacentral:rRNA from 1 species